GCCGUGCAUGAAUCCAUAGUGUACGGUAGGGAACGCAGGGAACUGACCCAUCUCAGUACCUGCAGGAAAGGAAAGAGACAUCGACUCCCCCAGUAGAGGCGAUCGAAAAGGGAAGAGCCCAAACCUGGUGUGCGUGAUAGCCCGCGAGCGUUGCACACUGGGUGUUGUGAGAGCCGGGGUCACGUUUGCGGACGUGGCACGGAGUUACCAAACCAGGAUCUAGACGAGCUGGCUGGAAAGCCUGGCCAAAGAGGGUGAUAGCCCCGUAGUCGAAAGGUACUGGUCUCCGCCGGAGUUCUCGAGUAGCGCCCGUCCCGUGGAACCGGGCGUGAAUCAGCGCGGCCCACCGCGCAAGGCUAAGUACUACUUGGUGACCGAUAGCGAAGAGUAGCGCGAGCGAAAGGUGAAAAGAACCCCUGUUAGGGGAGUGAAAUAGAACCUGAAACCGUAUACCUACCAGCGGUCGGAGCCCCAUUGAUGGGGUGACGGCGUGCCUUUUGCAUAAUGACCCGGCGAGUUAGCGUACGCGGCAAGGUUAAGGGUUUAUGGCCCGAAGCCGAAGCGAAAGCGAGUGCGAAAUGUGCGACAUAUAGUCGAGUGCGCUAGACCCGAAAGCAGGUGAUCUAACCAUGGGCAGGAUGAAGCGGAUGUAACAGUUCGUGGAGGUCCGAACCGGUGAAUGUUGAAAAAUUCUCGGAUGACUUGUGGUUAGGGAUAAAAGAUCAAUCAAACCUGCAGAUAGCUGGUUCUCCCCGAAAUA
rnacentral:rRNA from 1 species